rnacentral:rRNA from 1 species
GAUGAACGCUGGCGGCGUGCCUAAUACAUGCAAGUCGAGCGAACGGACGAUAAGCUUGCUUCUCUGAUGUUAGCGGCGGACGGGUGAGUAACACGUGGAUAACCUACCUAUAAGGCUGGGAUAACUUCGGGAAACCGGAGCUAAUACCGGAUAAUAUUUUGAACCGCAUGGUUCAAAAGUGAAAGACGGUCUUGCUGUCACUUAUAGAUGUAUCCGCGCUGCAUUAGCUAGUUGGUAAGGUAACGGCUUACCAAGGCAACGAUGCAUAGCCGACCUGAGAGGGUGAUCGGCCACACUGGAACUGAGACACGGUCCAGAGUCCUACGGGAGGCAGCAGUAGGGAAUCUUCCGCAAUGGGCGAAAGCAUGACGGAGCAACGCCGCGUGAGUGAUGAAGGUCUUCGGAUCGUAAAACUCUGUUAUUAGGGAAGAACAUAUGUGUAAGUAACUGUGCACAUCUUGACGGUAACUAAUCAGAAAGCCACGGCUAACUACGUG